rnacentral:rRNA from 1 species
CCUACGGGGGGCAGCAGUGAGGAAUAUUGGUCAAUGGGCGUAAGCCUGACCCAGCCAAGUCGCGUGAGGGAUGAAGGUUCUAUGGAUCGUAAACCUCUUUUAUCAGGGAACAAAGUCUGGGACGUGUCCUAUUUUGUAUGUACCUUAUGAAUAAGGAUCGGCUAACUCCGUGCCCGCAGCCGCGGUACUACGGAGGAUCCGAGCGUUGUCCGGAUUUAUUGGGUUUAAAGGGUGCGUAGGCGGCCUGUUAAGUCAGGGGUGAAAGGCUCGGUCUCAACCCGAGAAUUGCCGUUGAAACUGGGAGGCUUGAGUAUGUUAGAGGCAGGCGGAAUGCGUGGUGUAGCGGUGAAAUGCUGAGAUAUCACGCAGAACCCCGAUGGCGAAGGCAGCCUGCC